UACGAAGGGGGCUAGCGUUGCUCGGAAUCACUGGGCGUAAAGGGUGCGUAGGCGGGUCUUUAAGUCAGGGGUGAAAUCCUGGAGCUCAACUCCAGAACUGCCUUUGAUACUGAAGAUCUUGAGUUCGGGAGAGGUGAGUGGAACUGCGAGUGUAGAGGUGAAAUUCGUAGAUAUUCGCAAGAACACCAGUGGCGAAGGCGGCUCACUGGCCCGAUACUGACGCUGAGGCACGAAAGCGUGGGGAGCGAACAGG
rnacentral:rRNA from 1 species